rfam:Colinus virginianus strain Texas jcf7180006226694, whole genome shotgun sequence.
CCAAAGGCUCUUUUCAGAGCCACCCACCUUGUCAGCAAAAGAGCCU